rnacentral:lncRNA from 1 species
UGAAGCUCUUCUGGAUGAGUGCCAUCUGGUAAAAGUCCGAUCGUAGUUGCGGGAUGAUUCCGUCGAGAAUCAGACGACGGUUGUGAAAAUCCUGUGUCAAGAUUGCGUUCUAGCUCGCGUUCAUUCGGCUACCCUAGUCGCCACUUGUCACUAGUAGAUUGAUUUGAGCGGGCCCGUGCUGCGUGGAAGUUAGACCUCGUACUUUUAGCUUCUGCCUUGCCCAUGGAUUUGUGUGAUACCAAACUUGUGUGGUUUUGUACAACCUAGAGGUAAGGAAAAUGCCUGCAAAAAGGAACUGUUAACAGUAUCAGUAACUUGUUGGCGGCGCAUUUCACAUCAAACACAUGGCUUUGCAUCUCUUAUGUGGCCUAAUCCUAGAUAGCUCAGGUGGCACGCGCCCUGGAGGCGUGCUGCCCAAAUUCGUGUGCAAAAAUGCAAAAAAUGUUUCGAGACACGGCGCCUAAGCAAUUGCGUUGUGUAAAGUAAGGACUGGAUUGUGGAAGGAGCGCCCGUUGCAACUACGGGAGGUCUUUGGAUUACCCAAACGUUUUGGCCCGAAUGUGACUGGACUUUUAAUUAGGAGUGGAGAAUUACAGCGUAAUAGACUUUUUGGACCGUAAGUUACGCAAAGUGUAAAGCGCAAAGCGUCAAAUACCGUAUAUUACGGUUUGGGGCGUCGUGAGACCAACCGUAAUGCUUUACAGUCCCGUACCAGUGGCCAUUUUCGUGAACCCAAAACAUUUUAGUAAUUAUAGUAACAUUAAAUAACAUUUUCUUUUAGCUGCUACGUCUGUUCGCGUGGUUCAUGUGUAACAAUGGCCGAUGAGACACCCAAACAGCAGCCCGUGGUCAUGAAAAAGCUGAACAACAUUCUUAAAAGUAGCACAACUUUGCUGGCUGGAGUGGCGAGGACCCCAAGCGGCAUACCGCCGGACACGGACAGCGAUGACGACAUCGCGAUUGGCGCGCUCGCACGGAAAUAAAUGCACGACCACUUCAGAAUGAGCAGAGUGCUGAUUUCUAGUAUCAUUGUUUACAUAGUUACCUUGGUGCUGGUAUAGAUCUACUUAGUUGUGGCUAUGUUGAGGUGCGUUUUCGAACUUCGAAGCAAGGUUUUCGCGGCAAAUCGGACAUUUUCGUCUUCCAUUAAUUGCUCUAGAAUGGAUGUUAGAUGUUAUAUGUUGCUUUGGAGGCGCGGUGGCGUGUGGACAUCUGACUUCCGGUGAGGACAGGCAAAAUGGACACCGUAAUUGACGUUACGCCGUCACACCGAAAACUUACGGUCAUUUUUGGGCCCUACCGUAAGUGCUUGAAUGUAAAUGCUCGUCGCUCCGUACCGGACUAGCGUGAAGUGGGCCUUUGCGUCCAGCCUUACACCCGAUCCCAAUGUUUAAUCAGGCCACACCACAUCCCAGCCACACCGCCUUGCGGCUCGUCUGCAAGGCUCAGCCUUGUCAUGUCUCCGGGCUUCCUUGGAUCCUCGCUUUCGCUAUCUUUCCUGUCGUACUCUCGCGCCUAGUCGGCCCUGCCUUACCUCAAAAUGAACACUACCUCGGUCGCGUAACUCGGCCUGAAAGGGGUGAGGAUGUG